rnacentral:rRNA from 1 species
CGCGCACACCGCCGACGCGCGACCAACACCCCACCCGCCCACAGACACCCACAAACCCGCCGUCGUCGUAGAAGUCGGGAGUCCGGGCUGGGGGGUAAGCUUCUAGUCCGAGAGGGAAACAACCCAGACCGUGGUUAAGGCCCUUAAAUGUCGGCUAAGUGUAAUUAAAAGGGUGUCCCAGGCCCUAGACAGCUGGGAGGUGAGCUUAGAAGCAGCUAACCUUUAAAAAGUGCGUAACAGCUUACCAGUCGAGGUUUGGGGCCCCGAAAAUGGACGGGGCUCAAGCCGACUGCCGAUACCACGGAGCACGGAAACGUGAUCUGGUAGGAAGGCGUCCUGCGUGGACAGAAGUAGGGCUGUAAAGUCCUGUGGACCGCGCAGGAACGAAGAUCCUGGCAAUAGUAGCAGCAUAGUCGGGUGAGAAUCCCCCGCCGAAAGGGCUAGGUUUCCUCGACAAUGUUCGUCAGUCGAGGGUUAGUCGGUCCUAAGAUACACCGUAAUUCGAGUGUGUCAAAAGGGAAACAGGUUAAUAUUCCUGUACCACGCGACAUUAAAACCUGACGCCUCAGGGUAGUCCGAACAGUGAUGCCAAACUGUCCAAGCGUAUUAAGUCCGCGGAGAACCGUAAUGGUGAGAAACGGACCAAAGCGUGAUGGGGAAACUCGGAUAAUCCCAGGGGCCCGUGAAAAAGGGAGUCGAUGGCCGUACCAAGAUCUGACACAGGUGCCCCUAGUUGAGAAGACUAAGGCGUGUCGGCAUAACCCACCCAAGGGAAAUCGGCAAAUUAGCCCCGUAACUUCGGGAGAAGGGGUGCCUGCUCUGAGAAGAGCAGGUCGCAGUGACUAGGGGGCUCUAACUGUCUAAUAACAACAUAGGUGAUUGCGAACCCGAAAGGGCUAGUACAAUCACUGAAUCCUGCCCAGUGCAGGUACCUGAACAUCCGGUUCAACGGGAAGAAGGGCCUGUCAACGGCGGGGGUAACUAUGACCCUCUUAAGGUAGCGUAGUACCUUGCCGCUUAAUUGGCGGCUUGCAUGAAUGGACCAAUGAGAGCCCUACUGUCCCUGGGUGGAACCCGGUGAACUUUACAUUCCAGUGCAGAGUCUGGAGACCCCUAAUGGGAAGUGAAGACCCCGUGGAGCUUUACUGCAGCCUGUCGCUGGGAUUCGGUUGUGCAUGCGCAGCGUAGGUAGGAGGUGUCGAUCCACCACUUCUGGGUGGUGGGGAGCCUACCCUGAGACACUACCCUUGCACGGCUGUGUCCCUUACCGUGGGAACGGGACCCCGAUAGGUGGGCAGUUUGGCUGGGGCGGCACGCCCUUGAAAAGAUAUCAAGGGCGCCCAAAGGUUGACUCAGGUGGGUCAGAAACCCACCGAAGAGCGUAAGGGCAAAAGUCAGCCUGAUGUGAUUCAGCACAGUAGUGGAUCACAAGACGAAAGUCGGGCCUAACGAACCUUUAUGCCUUAUUGAUGAGGGCUAAAGAUGACAGAAAAGCUACCCCGGGGAUAACAGAGUCGUCACCGGCAAGAGCACAUAUCGACCCGGUGGCUUGCUACCUCGAUGUCGGUUCUUUCCAUCCUGGCCGUGCAGAAGCGGCCAAGGGUGAGGUUGUUCGCCUAUUAAAGGAGAUCGUGAGCUGGGUUUAGACCGUCGUGAGACAGGUCGGUUACUAUCUGUUAGGGGUGUUUGAGGUCUGAGGGGAAGUUGGUUAUAGUACGAGAGGAACUAGCCAACGUGGCCACUGGUCUAUCGGUUGUCUGGCAAGGCAGUGCCGAGCAGCUACGCCAUAAUGGAUAAGAGCUGAAAGCAUCUAAGCUCGAAACCAACCCCGAAAAGAGACAUCUUAAGGACAUCGGUAAAAGACCGGUUUGA